rnacentral:rRNA from 1 species
AGUGAACGCUGGCGGUAGGCCUAACACAUGCAAGUCGAACGGCAGCACAGGAAAGCUUGCUCUCUGGGUGGCGAGUGGCGGACGGGUGAGGAAUACAUCGGAAUCUACUCUGUCGUGGGGGAUAACGUAGGGAAACUUACGCUAAUACCGCAUACGACCUACGGGGGAAAGCAGGGGACCUUCGGGCCUUGCGCGAUUGAAUGAGCCGAUGUCGGAUUAGCUAGUCGGUGGGGUAAUGGCCCACCAAGGCGACGAUCCGUAGCUGGUCUGAGAGGACGAUCAGCCACACUGGGACUGAGACACGGCCCAGACUCCUACGGGAGGCAGCAGUGGGGAAUCUUGCGCAAUGGGCGAAAGCCUGACGCAGCGACGCCGCGUGCGGGAAGAAGGCCUUCGGGUUGUAAACCGCUUUCAGGAGGGACGAAGCCACUCAGGUUAAUAGCCUAGAGGGUGACGGUACCUCCAGAAGAAGCCCCGGCUAACUACGUGCCAGCCGCCGCGGUAA